ensembl:lncRNA
AUGGGGCCUUCCCAGGGCACAGCCAGGGACCGUCCCCUGUCCGGUGUCCCCUGUCCAGUGUCCCCUGUCCGGUGUCCCCUGUCCGGUGUCCCCUGUCCGGUGUCCCUUAUCCCAUGUCCUGAGUCCACCCCGUGUCCACCCCAGAUGUCCCUCAUGUGGGUCCAGGUGUCUGCAGCCCAUCUCUGUCCCAUGUCCAUCCCAUGUCCAUCUGUCCAGCUGUGUCCAUCCCCAUGUCCAUCUGUCUAUCCAUGUCCAUCUGUGCUGUGUCCAUGUGUCUGUGCCAUGUCCAUCUGUCUGUCGGUGUUGGUCGGGCGGGUCCUGGCGCAGUGCUGUCCCCAUCCCUGUCCCUCCCAUGUCCGUCUGUCCAGCUGUGUCCAUCCCCGUGUCCGUGCUGUGUCCGUCUGUCCAUCCAUGCCGUGUCUGUCUGUCCAGCUGUCUCUAUCUGUCCAUGCCAUGUCCAUCCCUGUGUCCGUGCUGUGUCCGUCUGUCCAUCCAUGCCGUGUCUGUCUGUCCGUCCAUCCCGUGACUGUCCGUGAUGUGUCCAUCUGUGCCAUAUCCGUCUGUCCAGCCGUGUCCGUCUAUCCAGCCAUGUCCAUCUCUCCAGCCGUGUCCAUCUGUCCAUCCGUGCCGCGUCUGUCUGUCCACGGGUGUCCGUCUGUCCAUCUCUGCCGUGUCCGUCCGUCUGUCCUGGCGUCCAUCAGGCGGGUCCGGGCGCGGCGCCGUCGCCGUCCCUGUCCGCGGGUCCGGCCGCCCACUGCGGCCGCAGGAUGGUUCCGGUGUGGCCCUCGCGGGCCUGGGGCCGCUGCUCCCGCGGGAUGCGCACGGCCCGGAACCGCGGCACGGCCGGGGGCGGGGCGGCCGCCGCCCGCCGGAAAAAACCCAGCUGGGGAGACAGGGCACGGGGAUAUCGCGACAUGGCACCGGGCACAGCGACAUAUCGCGACAUGGCACCGGACAGUGGGAUAUAUCGCGAUAUGGCACCGGGCAGAGUGAGACAUAUCAUGAUAUGGCACCGGGCACAGUGACAUAUCGCGACAUGGCACCGGACAGAGUGAUAUAUCGCGAUAUGGCACCGGGCAGAGUGAGACAUAUCAUGAUAUGGCACAGGACACAGUGACUUAUCGCGAUAUGGCACUGGACAGACUGAGAUAUAUCGCGAUAUGGCACUGGACAGAGUGAUAUAUCGUGAUAAAGCACCAGACAGAGUGAUAUAUUAUGAUAUGGCACCGGGCACAGUGACAUAUCGUGACAUGGCACCGGACAGUGGGAUAUAUUGCGAUAUGGCACCGGGCAGACUGAGAUAUAUCACAAUAUGGCACCGGACAGAGUGAUAUAUCGUGAUAUAGCACCAGACAGUGAUAUAUUAUGAUAUGGCACCGGACAGAGUGAUAUAUCGUGAUAUAGCACCAGACAGUGAUAUAUUAUGAUAUGGCACUGGACACAGUGAGUUAUCGCGACAUGGCAUCAGGCAGUGUGGGGUAUAUCGCAAUAUGCCACCUUGUACCAUGCUGUAUCGCGAUAUGCCGCGCUCUGUGGUGCCAUAUUGCGAUAUACAACGCUGUAUUGUGCCAUAUCGUGCCGUAUCGCGAUAUGUCGUGUUCUAUCGCGCCGUAUCGUGAUAGCAGGGCGUCCCUCACCUUCCAGAGCCCCAGCACGAGCAGCGCCAGCAGCAGCAGCCCCAGCAGCACCGCCAGCGGCAGCACCCACCAGGGCACCGCGGUGACGGCCACGCCUGGGUCCAGGUGCAGGGACACCGACAUCUGCGGGGUCA